rnacentral:lncRNA from 1 species
AAUCUGAAACUGUAGCAAGUCCCAUGCUUGUAAUCAGUUUACCAUCAAUAACUACUUUGGGACCAUCUACUGGAUUGGAGAGUUCUGUAAUGGCAGAGGGAUGAGCAGUGACUUUAUUUUCCUGUAUUCAUCCGAGGUUGUCAGUGUUGCCAAAUGAUACUCAAUAUUUAAUAGGCAGGAAAAUGUAAAUACUAUUAUCUCGAGUCUUGAGACUUGACCUUGAGCAGCCCAUGUUUGUGCAGGACUGUUGGAGAAGAGCAAACAGCUCCGAGUAUUCUUCCGGCCGCAUCUUGUUCUUUCAACAACUUCUUGAGAAUUCGAGAUUUCUGUAGCCGUUCAGUACCAGCAACUCCUCCCUGCUAGUUAAAAGUAAACCAAG